GACGAACGCUGGCGGCGUGCUUAACACAUGCAAGUCGAACGGAAAGGCCCUGGUUUUGUGGGGUGCUCGAGUGGCGAACGGGUGAGUAACACGUGGGUAACCUGCCCUUGACUUUGGGAUAACUUCGGGAAACUGGGUCUAAUACCGGAUAGGAGCUGCUGCUGGAGGGUGGGGUGUGGAGAGUUUCGGCGGUUGGGGAUGGACGCGGGGCUUAUAGUUUUGUGGGGGGGGUAGGGGCUUACCAAGGGUUUGACGGGAAGCCGGCUUGGGGGGGUGACCGGCCCCAUUGGGCCUGGAAUCCGGCCCAGCCCCCUACGGGAGGCAGCAGUGGGGAAUAUUGCACAAUGGGCGGAACCCUAAUGAAGCAACGCCGCGUGCGGGAUGACGGCCUUCGGGUUGUAACCCGCUUUCGCCUGUGACGAAGCGUGAGUGACGGUAAUGGGUAAAGAAGCACCGGCUAACUACGUG
rnacentral:rRNA from 1 species